UCUAGAACUCGAGAUAUGAGCUGAACACUAAAUAGUAUCUGGGCUGCAGGAUAGAUUCCGACUUCUCUGUUGUUCCUAAAAGUUGAACUUGAAAACGGUCAUUUUGAAUCUUGGAUUCUUCAUGAAAGUUUUAGGCCUAUGUCUUAGCUUUCCAUA
rnacentral:pre_miRNA from 1 species